GACGAACGCUGGCGGCGUGCUUAACACAUGCAAGUCGAACGGAAAGGCCUGCUUUUGUGGGGUGCUCGAGUGGCGAACGGGUGAGUAACACGUGAGUAACCUGCCCUUGACUUUGGGAUAACUUCAGGAAACUGGGGCUAAUACCGGAUAGGAGCUCCUGCUGCAUGGUGGGGGUUGGAAAGUUUCGGCGGUUGGGGAUGGACUCGCGGCUUAUCAGCUUGUUGGUGGGGUAGUGGCUUACCAAGGCUUUGACGGGUAGCCGGCCUGAGAGGGUGACCGGCCACAUUGGGACUGAGAUACGGCCCAGACUCCUACGGGAGGCAGCAGUGGGGAAUAUUGCACAAUGGGCGGAAGCCUGAUGCAGCAACGCCGCGUGCGGGAUGACGGCCUUCGGGUUGUAAACCGCUUUCGCCUGUGACGAGGCGUGAGUGACGGUAAUGGGUAAAGAAGCACCGGCUAACUACGUG
rnacentral:rRNA from 1 species